rnacentral:rRNA from 1 species
GCAUAUCAUAGCGAGAAAAGAAACUAACAAAGGGAUUCCCCUUAGUAACGGCGAAGUGAAGCGGGAAAGAGCUCAAAUUUAAAAUCUGUAAGGUUCAACCCUUGCCGAGUUGUAGUUUGAAGAAGUGUUUUCCGCGGCGGCUGCAGUACAAAUCCUUUGGAACAGGGUAUCAGAGAGGGUGAGAAUCCCGUCUUUGACUGCAGACUAGUUGCACUGUGAUACACUUUCUAAGAGUCGAGUUGUUUGGGAAUGCAGCUCAAAAUGGGUGGUAAAUUUCAUCUAAAGCUAAAUAUUGGCAAGAGACCGAUAGCGAACAAGUACCGUGAGGGAAAGAUGAAAAGAACUUUGAAAAGAGAGUUAAAUAGUACGUGAAAUUGUUAAAAGGGAAACGCUUGAAGUCAGUGUUGCCGGCGGAAAAUCAGCUUCGUGCGGACGGCUUGUCGCGGUGGAGGGAGUGUCAAAGCCCCUUGCCGCGGCACAGCCGGGCGGAUGGAGUGCACUUUUCAGUCGGCAGGUCAACAUCAAUUUCAGCCGGUGGAAAAAUACAAGUGGAACGUAGGUUGGAGCAAUCCGACUGUUAUAGCCACUCGUGGAUACACCGGCGGGGAUUGAGGACAGCAGUGCAGGCCACUACGGCGGAAGCGCUUCUCUUUUCACAGGGGGGCACACCAAGACAGCAAGCUGACUUGGCGUGUACACCGCUGGGAACGGAGGGGCUGACUUCUCCUGCACUAAGGAUGUUGACGAAAUGGCUUUAAACGACCCGUCUUGAAACACGGACCAAGGAGUCUAACAAAUAUGCGAGUAUUUGGGUGGCAAACCCAUAUGCGCAAUGAAAGUGAAUGUAGGUGGGAUCCCGGUUACGGGAGCACCAUCGACCGAUCUGGGAAUAAUUUAGGAUAGAUUUGAGUAAGAGCAUAUCUGUUGGGGACCCGAAAGAUGGUGAACUAUGCCUGAAUAGGGGUGAAGCCAGAGGAAACUCUGGUGGAGGCUCGUAGCGAUUUCUGACGUGCAAAUCGAUCGUCAAAUUUGGGGUAUAGGGGGCGAAAAGACUAAUCGAAACCCAUCUUAGUUAGCUGGCUUCUGCGA